CAACGCAAGGUCUGUGGCCCACCCAAGCGGGUCAAAAUCUUGAGUGGGUGCUGAACCCCUCAGUGUAUGUGGUGCUGAACAUGCUUUGGUUGAAAAUGUUCAAACCGAGUGGUGGACCCACUUUUUAUGUUGAACAUAGUCCACUGUCUUUUGUUUUCAAGCCUUCUGUUCUUCUCAUACAUGUAGCCCUCCAGAAGCGGGUACCGGCCUGAAUUUUGGCCUAGUUCUAGCACACGUAUGACAGGAUGGUGUGUGCUGUGAUACCUCCCUUCUGUCUCUCACAGGUUACAACUGUGAUGGUAGCAGAGUUCAACUUAGGCAGACAUUGGAUGAAACUGUUAGGCAGCUGUUUGAUCGAAUGCUAGAUCGGGAUUUGUUCUCUUGGAAUGUUAUGAUCGAUGGGCUUGCAAAAUGUGGGCUGGUUGUUGAUGCACGGACGUUGUUUGACGAAAUGCCUGUGAGAGAUAUCGUGUCGUGGAAUAGUAUGAUUUCUGGGUAUGCUAGAUGUGGGAGUGUGAGAGUGGCGAGGGAGCUGUUUGAUGAGAUGUCACUGAGGGAUGCAAUUGCGUGGAGUGCUAUGAUUGUUCCCUACAUAAAGCAUGGUGAUAUGGGAAUUACUCAUUGCUUGUUUGAGAAAAUGCCUCAUAAGAUUUCGAUCAGUUGGAACUCUAUGAUCAAUGGGUAUGCCAAGUGCUCAUGCUUAAAGAGCUGAUGCUGCAGAAGAACUUGACCUUGUGGAAGGCUUUAUGCUUAUGCUAAAUGUGAGAGAAUAGAAGAUGCACGUGAAUUGUUUGAUGAAAUGCAAUUUCAGGAUAUUUUCUCUUCGAAUAUUAUGAUUGAUGGAUACGCAAGAGUUGGGUGCAUGAGACCUAACAUCUUUGUAUCUUCUCCUCUUCUCCCACUCUAAAGCUGGCACAUGAAGUGACUAUGGGGGUCCACAACAAAACAAACAAACCCUUCCUCACAGCAUGGGGCAGAUUAAACAUCAUCUGUGACAUUUUUGCGUGCUUCAAAAGCCACGUCCCUGACACCAUCACAUCAACACCCUUCAAUUCAUUUUAACACUUCACCAAGGCAAGAAUACAAACAAACAGACGGCCAUGGAUUCAUGCACAUAAGUGUUAAGGAACUUUUGGAAUCGGAAGGGUCAGUAGAGCGGUGGGCUUUGCACAUUGACCAGUGUUGGCGCAGGCUCCAUGAUGUUGUCCAUGUCAGGAUAGAUGAAGGUCACAACAGUUGUUCUAGCGGCGGUGGACUUGGUAACGGCGCAGUGCUCGACGCUCUUCAACUGCCCAUUACUGAUAACCUAAAUGACAAAUUAAAGAAAAACAUUGAUAUAAUUCAAUGAAACUAUAUUGUAGAAACAAACUACAUUUUAAAUGGGAUAGCAAUAGGUUGACAAAAUUUAACUUCAUAUAUAAAUGCCUUCUAAAUUAGUUUCCUCUUUGUUUCUUUGUCUGUUUGUUUGAUGAUGUCAGCAAACUCUAGUGUUUAUUUUACGGGGGUUGUUUAGAUUUGAGCAAAAUUAUGUCAUGAUAAGCAAUUGGAACAACUGCAUGCACA